rnacentral:rRNA from 1 species
GUACCGUGAGGGAAAGAUGAAAAGAACUUUGAAAAGAGAGUUAAACAGUACGUGAAAUUGUUGAAAGGGAAACGAUUGAAGUCAGUCAUACCAACGGGAAAUCAACCUUUUGAGCUUGGUCUCGUGGGUUUUGAAGAGUUUCAAAGCCUUCGGAUUCGCGGGAUUGGGAUCUCUCGGUGUACUUUUUCGUACGGUUAGUCAACAUCGGUUUUGAAUGUCAUAAAAUGAUUGGGGGAAUGUAGCUUCGAUCUCGUAUUGAAGUGUUAUAGCCUUUGGUAGAUGUGAUGUUUGAGACCGAGGAUUGCAACGGAUACCCUUCAGGGCUAUUCGUCUGAUCUCUGAUACGUUGCCUUGAUGUUGAAAGCUUGCUUAUGAUGUUAGGGUAUUUCGGUCAAAAGGUUAGAACGGAUUACAUUCGUUAAGG